rnacentral:rRNA from 1 species
UGAGGAAUAUUGGACAAUGGAUGGAAAUCUGAUCCAGCCAUGCCGCGUGCAGGAAGACGGCCCUAUGGGUUGUAAACUGCUUUUGUAUGGGAGCAAUAAGGACUACGUGUAGUUUGAUGAGAGUACCAUACGAAUAAGCAUCGGCUAACUCCGUGCCAGCAGCCGCGGUAAUACGGAGGAUGCGAGCGUUAUCCGGAUUUAUUGGGUUUAAAGGGUGCGUAGGCGGCGAUAUAAGUCAGUGGUGAAAUAUUUCGGCUUAACCGAGAGACUGCCAUUGAUACUGUGUUGCUAGAAUAUGGUUGCUGAGAGUGGAAUGUGUGGUGUAGCGGUGAAAUGCUUAGAUAUCACACAGAAUAUCGAUUGCGAAGGCAGCUCACAAAGCCAUUAUUGACACUGAGGCACGAAAGUGUUGGGAUCAAACA